rnacentral:snRNA from 1 species
UUCUCUUUAGCCACAGAUAUACUAAAAGUAGAACAAUACAGGGAAGAAUAGCAUGGCUCCUGAGCAAGGAUGAAAUACAAAUUUGUGAAGUGCUCCACGUUUUU